AUUGAACGCUGGCGGCAGGCCUAACACAUGCAAGUCGAGCGGCAGCGGAAGGAAGCUUGCUUUCUUGCCGGCGAGCGGCGGACGGGUGAGUAAGGUAUGGGGAUCUGGCCGAAGGCGGGGGAUAACCACUGGAAACGGUGGCUAAUACCGCAUAAUCUCUAAGGAGCAAAGUGGGGGACCGUUCAGGCCUCACACCUUCGGAUGAACCUAUAUGAGAUUAGCUAGUAGGUGGGGUAAUGGCUCACCUAGGCGACGACCUCUAGCUGGUCUGAGAGGAUGAUCAGCCACACUGGGACUGAGACACGGCCCAGACUCCUACGGGAGGCAGCAGUGGGGAAUAUUGCACAAUGGGCGCAAGCCUGAUGCAGCCAUGCCGCGUGUAUGAAGAAGGCCUUCGGGUUGUAAAGUACUUUCAGUCGUGAGGAAGGUGUUAAGGUUAAUAACCUUAGCAAUUGACGUUAGCGACAGAAGAAGCACCGGCUAACUCCGUGCCAGCCGCCGCCGUAA
rnacentral:rRNA from 1 species